AUUGAACGCUGGCGGCAAGCAUAACACAUGCAAGUCGAACGAGUGGCGGACGGGUGAGUAAUGACUGGGAAACUGCCUGAUGGAGGGGGAUAACUACUGGAAACGGUAGCUAAUACCGCAUACCAUCGGAUGUGCCCAGAUGGGAUUAGCUAGUAGGAGGGGUAAAGGCUAACCUAGGCGACGAUCCCUAGCUGGUCUGAGCGGUUGACCAGCCACACUGGAACUUAGACACGGUCCAGACUCCUACGGGAUGCAGCAGUGGGGAAUAUUGCACAAUGGGCGCAAGCCUUAUGCAGCCAUGCCUCGUGUAUGAAGAAGGCCUUCGGGUUGUAAAGUACUUUCAGCGGGGAGGCGUUACCCGCAGAAGAAGCACCUGCUAACUCCGUGCCAGCAGCCGCGGUAAUUC
rnacentral:rRNA from 1 species